CCUAAGACAUGCAAGUCGAACGAAGUGUACCGAUGAAGCUUGGAGUGCUUGCACAAAAGCGGAUUCGGAUCCGCACUUAGUGGCAGACGGGUGAGUAACACGUGGGUAAUCUACUUCGGAGACUGGGAUAACUAUUAGAAAUGAUAGCUAAUACCGGAUAAUUCGUAAUCUGUAUAACUGAUUAUGCUAAAAGGAGCUUCGGCUUCACUUCGAGAUGAGCUUGCGGUGUAUUAGCUAGUUGGUGGGGCAAUGGCCUACCAAGGCAACGAUGCAUAGCCGGACUGAGAGGUUGAACGGCCACAUUGGGACUGAGACACGGCCCAGACUCCUACGGGAGACAGCAGUUAGGAAUAUUCGUCAAUGGAGGAAACUCUGAACGAGCAAUGCCGCGUGAGUGAUGACGGUCUUUAUGAUUGUAAAACUCUGUUGUAAAGGAAGAACCCUUACCAUAGGUAAUGAUGGUAAGCUGACGGUACUUUACCAGAAAGCCCCGGCUAACUACGUGCCAGCAGCUGC
rnacentral:rRNA from 1 species